rnacentral:tRNA from 1 species
GCGAGCGUGGUGGAAUUGGCAGACACGCCAGACUUAGGAUCUGGUGCUUACGGCUUGAGAGUUCGAGUCUCUCCGCUCGCA